rnacentral:lncRNA from 1 species
AUCGAGCCUCUCAGACUCUAUAAUAUUUGUAUGUAUUUACACUCGUCCAUACUCCCUAUAUAAAUUCAUGGGUCUAUAUAGGGCUACUACGCUCGCGUCCAACGCUCACGUCACGCCUUAAUGCGGUGCUACACUACGCCAUCAAGGUGGACAAACGGGUGUAUAAAUAUGUGUCCAUACCCCCUACAUGAAUUAAACACUCAAAUAGGGCUACUACGCUUACGUCCAACGCUCACGUCACACCAUAAUGCGGCUAUAUGCUACGCCAUUAAGGUGGACAGACACAUAUGGCUAGCUAGCAUUUUCUAUACAUACUCUCUCAUAAAUACAUAUUUAUAUCCACCGAAAAUCCCAUUUUCGGUAUCUCUCCAAGAGAAAUAAAAAUCGUCAAAAAUUAAAAUGACGUCAAAAUACUCCACGACAUUAAUUGUUCAACCAUGAACUAUAGCAUGCAUUUAUUUAAAAUAAACGUCCACUCAAAAAUUUGGCCUAAGUCUGAUGUCGAUCUGGGGCCUCGUCUGCUCGAGCCUCCUCACGUCCUGUUCCAAAUAUAAUAUUAAUUUCCCAACCAAUAAUCCAAUAUUUAAUCAAAAUAGGCAAAAUUACUCGAGAGCCAUAAAUACGCUCAUCAUUGCCUAACUUCGAUAUUCUUAAAUCGGAACGAUCCGAACUUAAAUAUCAUACUCAACAGUCGUAAAUACAACCUCUCCAAAAUACGACUUAAAUCCUACGGCCGGAUUCUACAUUAAUUACCCGCCAAAAAUACCAAACUUCCAAAAUUCACAAACCUAUCCAAAUCUCAUCUAAAAAUUCCAUAAAUCACAUCAAUAUACUCCUCUUAAUAUUCCACACUUAAAACCCUAAAAAUCUCCUAACCGGCGGCGGCACCGCCGGCAGCGGCGGCCGGAGGCCAAUUCCGGCGACCUCCAAAACCUAUGAAAUUUUGACAGAAUAAUCCUCUCAUCAUGCUCUACAACUUUCAUGACCAACACAUCACCCAAUUCCAAGCCUAACUAGGCUAAUCGAACGAAAACAACUUAAAAGCCCUAGAAAUUUCAACUCCACAUUUCUCCUUACCUAGCUCAAGAGGGAGGGAGCUGCUUGGAGGGGUUGCUGCACGGGAGGAGGGCUACAAAACCGUACCAAGCUUGCCCGGAUUGGUGGCCGGAGGAGGGAGUUCCGGCGACCGGAAGUUCGGGGCAGCCUAUCCUUUCGGGCGGCACCGCUCUCUCACGGCGGCGCUAGGGGGACUGCUACCGGCCUAGAAUGGAAGCUGGGUUGGAGGCCGUUCGAUUGGGACCGGUGCGGUGGUCUGGGGCGGCCGGACGGCGGCGGUCUGGCGGUCGGAAAUCCGGCAGCGGGAGGGCUCGGGUGCGGGAGCGGGUGAGGAGAGAAAAUCGGGAGGAAAAGAGAAUGGGUUUGGGCCUCACACCCCAAACCGGUCCAUCACCUAUAUACUACCCAAUUCUAAAAUAAAACACCCCGAAAAAAUAAUACCCGAAUAAAAAUUACCUUUUACUAGCUAAAAUUACUAUUUU